AGUCGAGCGAACGGACGAGAAGCUUGCUUCUCUGAUGUUAGCGGCGGACGGGUGAGUAACACGUGGAUAACCUACCUAUAAGACUGGGAUAACUUCGGGAAACCGGAGCUAAUACCGGACGAUAUUUUGAACCGCAUGGUUCAAAAGUGAAAGACGGUCUUGCUGUCACUUAUAGAUGGAUCCGCGCUGCAUUAGCUAGUUGGUAAGGUAACGGCUUACCAAGGCAACGAUGCAUAGCCGACCUGAGAGGGUGAUCGGCCACACUGGAACUGAGACACGGUCCAGACUCCUACGGGAGGCAGCAGUAGGGAAUCUUCCGCAAUGGGCGAAAGCCUGACGGAGCAACGCCGCGUGAGUGAUGAAGGUCUUCGGGUCGUAAAACUCUGUUAUUAGGGAAGAACAUAUGUGUAAGUAACUGUGCACAUCUUGACGGUACCUAAUCAGAAAGCCACGGCUAACUACGUGCCAGCAGCCGCGGUAAUACGUAGGUGGCAAGCGUUAUCCGGAAUUAUUGGGCGUAAAGCGCGCGUAGGCGGUUUUUUAAGUCUGAUGUGAAAGCCCACGGCUCAACCGUGGAGGGUCAUUGGAAACUGGAAAACUUGAGUGCAGAAGAGGAAAGUGGAAUUCCAUGUGUAGCGGUGAAAUGCGCAGAGAUAUGGAGGAACACCAGUGGCGAAGGCGACUUUCUGGUCUGUAACUGACGCUGAUGUGCGAAAGCGUGGGGAUCAAACAGGAUUA
rnacentral:rRNA from 1 species